rnacentral:lncRNA from 1 species
UGUCUGCAGUCCCCACGCUCUCCAAAAUCAAUCUCGGAGAGCAAGGCAGUGUUUUGCUGAGAUUAAGCAGAUUUGCAAAUUAGGAAGAUUAAAUGGAAAUGUAAUGAAAUGAAAAUUAAAUGUCCUUCUAUUUUUUUAUUAUUAUUUUUUAUUUUUAUUAUUUUUUUGAGAGAGACAGAGACAGAGACAGAGAGGAAGGAAGGAAAAAAAAAGGAAAAAUCGCCCUUUCCUGGGAGGUGUCUUUUGAGUGAUCCCCCAAAACGCCUUUCCCGGAGCAGCUCCCUGUCAAACUACACGCGCUCCCGUCCGGAGGGACUGAAAAGUGAUUCAAACUCUCCGGGAAGCACAGACAUUUUUAAUUCCAUCUGAUGCAGCAGCUCGGAAAGCAGCGAGAUCAGCCACCGGGGCUGCAAAGGAGGCUCUCUGCCUCCUCAAAUCCCCCAAAAGCAGAGCGGUUUUACUCAUCAAGGAAACAGCCGAGAAAAAGAAGGAUCGGAGGCACUCACCAGAGCGUAGACCGAGCUCAGCACGGAGCAGCAGAGGAUCAAACCCAGGCUGUGAUAAACCAGAUAUGAUCCCAUAUCCAAGGGGCUCCUUCCAGCAUCCACGCUCUCUCGGGGAAGUUGGAGGACGGAGAGGUCUUCCAGCGCUCCGCUUGCAGAUGAUUUCUCCUUCCCUCCCUCCAACCUCCCCCCCCCUCCACCUCACUCUCCAGAACCGGUGUUUGUUUGUUUGUCUGUUUGUUUGUUUGUUUGUUUUAGCCGGAAAGGCACAUGACGAGAAAGCCCGGUCCUUUGCUUCGCUUUCUCAUGGCUGGAGAUGCGGGCAGCUCCCGAAAGGCAGCGGAGGAGCCCAUGCGAAGAAGCGGAGCGACUUCGGCUUCGCUCAGCGCCGCAGCCCCCGGUGCUGGUUGUUUUCCGCGUGCAUCUGUCUCAGAGCAGAAAAAUCACAUCCAUAUGUCAAAGCCGCGCUCUUCUGUUUCCUUUUUAUGAGGCAGUGGGAAGUUCAAAUAAUUUCUUUGUCAAACGCAAACACACAGAAAGAGGCAGAGAGGGAGGGAGGGAGGGAGAAAGGCGAGAGAGGGGUGGAAGGGGUGGGAGAUCGGAGAGGGUGGGGGAGGCUUUAAACCACGGCUUUAUUUUUAGAUCCAGUAAUUUUAUCUUUUGGGUUUCGGAGGGGUUUGGAAAGAAAGAGAGAGAGGGAAAAAAAAAAAAAAAAGCCUUUUUUUUUCUUUUAAUUCUUUUUCUCCACUUUCGCCACACGAACGGCUCUCAGAGCAGAAAGUUACGGGGAAAAAAAAUAGCGAAAACUUGGAGAUAUUUUCCCUCCUCAUUUACUUUUUCUUCGCAAACAGCGGUGCUUUUGGGGGGGACCUUUUCCUCCUUUUUUUUUUUUUUUUUUUCCUUGCUGGUGUAUCGCCGCGCGUUUCGCCUCCACAAUAGGUUUAUUCUCCAGCCCUCCGGGUCGAAGUGUGUUUCAGUUACAAAUCGGGAUUUUUUCGCUCCUCUCUCCCCUCUCUGCCUCAGAGGAUCUGCAGUUUCAAAAAGCCGAUUGAACACGGCGUGAAAGCGUGAGGCUGACGACUCCCCCGCCUCCUACCGCCACUCUCUCUAGUCCUCGUUCCGUGCCCCGCAAGGAGGAGCCCCCCGCGGAACCCCUGGCGCAUCGCAUCCCCGCUUUCCCCCCCUCAUGUCCCCAGCACCUCGCACCCCUCGUGGAUGUCACCAGCAUCGCAGUUUCAAGGCUGGGGAUGGUGCUCCCAGCUCAGCCGGGCGCUUUCAUUCAUAAAAUGGCAAGAUUGUAUCCAUGAAUGUGUGUAUAAUGAACCCAGAAGGAAUGCAGCACUAAAAGAAGCCUUUGUAAUGUUGCUAUUUUAAGGAGACCCUUGGGUAUGGCACGUGUUGAACUGAGUUUCUCCAACAUCUUACAACAAACCAAAAUGUUUAGAUCCUCCUACUGAUGUAAGACAGCAUAAAAAAAAUACAUAAUCAAUCUAAACUGGCUAAGGUUUUGACCAGGAAUUAUUGCUCCUGUGAAUUGGCUCUGUAUUGUAGCUAACUUUUACACAGCCUAAUAAUAAACAUCUCCUCCUCCCAGCUGGGUGAAUGUUUCCCCUCUGCUGGAGAUCAGGUCCCAGUCUGGAUAAAACACCUCUUGUCCUUUCUCUCCUCGGUCACUCAGGUUCAGUGAAACAUCAUGACUUACAUCAGCCAAAGCCUUUGAUCAGGGAGGGAAAGGUCUGACAUGGAUGGGGUUGGCAGCCACGCUGCAAGAAUCCCUCAUUGUGCAAGAAGCCAGUCCAAUGACCGACUGUCACCAAGGGUGAGACAGCCUUUUCUGCUCUGUUUGCUCUGUUUUCACUUGGCUAUUGCUGGCGUUUUGUUUGCAAAAUCAAGGCCAAAAUAUACAAGAAGCAGCUUCGAACAUGUUGGGUUUGUGCAUUAAGCCAGAUAGCCAUCAUGAAUUUCUGGCCAUUUUUGUUGUAUGUGUUGUAAAGAGCAGAAUUUUGCUGUCAGCAUUUUGUUUUCACAUGGUCAGAGAGGAGAAGGAGUAUAAUAGAGGUCCAAUUGACACUGUUUACACAAAGAUGAAGUCGUAACUCUUGGCUGAGAUGACUGUGGAAGUGGUGUGUGAUGGCUUCUUUGUUGGCUCUUUAAGAAAACAUCUGCUCUGGAUCUCGUGGACAAAAUCUAGGGUGAAAAAUUCUCUCAUUGCAAAAUGAGAAGCCGGAUGAAAAGCCCAGAGAAGCUGUGGGUGCUCCAUCUCUGGAGGUGCUCAAGGCCAGGUUGGAUGGGGCCCUGGGCUGCCUGAUCUGGAAGGUGGUAAUCCUGCCCAUGGCCCCGGGUUGGGGCUGGAUGACCUUUGAGGAUGUUUCCAGCCUAGGCCGUUCUAUGAUUCUAUGAGUUUCUCCAAUAGCAUCCAGCACUCAAGGAACAGGGCUGCUUUGGAAAUGUAUGUCAGAAUAAGAAAAAUACAUUUUUUGUACUCACACAUUGAACAGCGAAUGAAUGCUCAAGAAGAAUGAGGGUGAGAAUUGAAUCCAUUAAAACACUUUCUGGGACAAUAUUUUUGCUUUCAGCAGCUUUCUCUUCUGCUUUGCUUCAAUUCCUUCUAAACUCUGCUCCCCUUCCUCCAGGUGGUAUGAAAUAAAAAACAGUAAUAAAUAGAUUUUUCUAUAUAGGAAAAAAAUCAAAAACAAAUAAAAAUAUAUUUUUAAAAAUUUAGAUUUCUCUGUAAAGACUCUUCAUUAAGUACACAGAAAUGCUUGUGAUAUGUGGCCAUAGAUGGGCUGUACGCCUCUUCUAAUGCCCUGCAGUAUGGUUUACAAGGUGACUCAGUAACUGGGGCGAAGUCAUCGUGGUGGGUUUGGGUGCCCUACAUGAGAAGACGCAGAAAAUGUGUCAGAAAAAGGAUCACAGACCUGAAAAUGGUUUGGGAGAAGAGAGAGAUGAGGCGUGUGGAGUUGAGGUCUUGGGUUAAGGCAACAAAGGAGUGUUGGAGGUGACAGAUGAACCCAAAGGCAUUUUGCAUCUUAAGCAGGCCAGAUGGGUUAGCAAAGUCACCAGUAGAACACAAUUGUCAGUGGCUCCAUACAGUGACCUUUAGCUGAAACAAAGCUAUACAAAAGGAGCUCAGGGCAUGCAAGUAGGUGAAGGAAAAUCCUCAUCAGCAAUAGGCUUGGCAUCCAUUUGGUUGUGUUUUCAUGCAGACAAGGUGGGGCAGACAGGCUCUACACAGCAACACGUGCUCUUGCCUUAUCCCAUCUCUGUUGUUCUCCUUGCUGUAGGCUGAUGCUUUGGACCCAGAAAGACACAAGUGGGAUGGAGAUCAGAGCCCUGGGCUUUUCCCCGCAGACCAGCAACUGGUGCCAUUUCUGGCUGAUUCUCUACUUUUCUCUUCCUAGUGAGGGUCUUUUGUUAUUUAUCAGCUCCUUUCAAAGCAACAGCCUGAGAGAUUUCACAAUACUUUUCACAUAUGGUUACUCAGCCUGGGGCUCUCCACAGCUUAGCUGUUUCAGUGAUAUUUGCACAGCACUGAGCAACAGCAUUCCUGACCUGCAGGAGAAGUGAGUGCCUCAAACCUCCUUUUCUCCAUAUACACAAGAUCUUUUUUUGCUCUUAAAAAACCCCAGACCCCUCUCCCCAUCCCUGCCAGUUGCACGGCAGACUGGAUGUCCCUGGCAGCACACUUGGGCUUGCAUCCAUUUUUCUUCUUUGUGUGUGUGUGCGUUGUCAUCCAAUGCAUGGCCAGAACCAAAGGAAAACUCAUGUGUGUGUUGUCAUCCAAUGCAUGGCCAGAACCAAAGGCAAACUCCAUUUGGGAGGUGAGCAAGGAAAACCCCUCCAAAACAGCCAGGAGCUGAAAAGAUUUGGCAAGCUUUGCAGGAGAAAACUGCCAGCAGGGAAAGACGAGGUGGAGGCAUUACUCUGACAGAAGAAGCUCUGAUUAGCAGAUUAUCACUUAAGUGAUGUUGAUCCCAGCCACGCUGCCUUCCAAAUGAGCCCUUUCACAGCUGCCAGCUGCACCACGGAGUCGUGAAUGUAAAUGAGUGGGCCAGAUCCUCUGCUGGCAUCCAUCGACGUGGCUUUGAUGGACCAUCCUGGAUCUACAACAGCCGGAGGAGUGUGGCUGUCGUGGGAGCCUGACUUGCUAUGCAGAUUUCUUUGAGAGCCUGUGGGAAAGGGCCUGAAGCUGGAUGUACUGCAGGAUAGGGCAGCAUCAACUGCACAGCUGGAGGGACCCUUGAGACUUUGACUUUUGCUGCCAAACAAAGCCAUCUUUUUGCUGAGCUUGUAAACUGUUCCCUGGUACCGUACGCCAGCAUAUAGCAUCCUGCCCUCAUAAAGCUCUACUUAUCUCCAUCCAACUUCUUGGGCUGAGCGUGUGGGAAGCAUGUGAGGGACACUCAUGAGCAGCCUUGCAUUCUCCGAGCUGUGCUUUCCCCUGGGGGUGAGCAUUCCCCUAAGUGCACAGUCCAUUUCAGCUCUGAUAAGUCUUCAGAGGUGAUGGCCUGGAACCUGCAGAGCUGGUGGUGAGGUGGGAACAAGCUCUCUUUGUGAGGCUGCACCAGCUUGCUGGGUGUGCUGGGUGCACUGAAUGAAAUCUUUCAUUUGGUUCCUCAGAGAGUCUAGGAAGAUCCUCAGCUUUUGUCCUGAAUGGGAUUGUAGCCCAGUCCAGGGAAAGAUCACAAAUACCAAGGCUUAGGUUAUUGGAUUGAAUCUUGCUUUGUUAGUGCAACCAUGCUGUGGACUUGGACUUUCAGCCAAGGAAAGAGAGUGCUGCAGAGGCGUGAUCGAAAAGAGGAGGUGGAUCUGUAAAAAUGAUGAUGAGAGUAAUGGGGAAUGGUUAUUGGGUGCCUCUCCUAGUAAAGACAUUGGGAACACAAGACUGAAAUUUUUGGGACAGGUGAAGUGCAAACAAAAAGAGGUGGUUUUUUUUCGUUUGUUUGUUUGGUUUUUUUUUAAUAAUGGUUGUUCCAUAAGUAAUGCCUCCUAUUUUAUUAUGUUGACCUACAACGUCAGAGGUGGAUGUUGGUAGUAUGGUAGUAGAGGUUAAACCUUCCCACCAACAUCCCAUUACAUUUUGUUGCCACGUGACAGAUAGCAGUAGAAGGGUAUUGACAAAAUGAUGUCUGACACAGAAGUGCAUAUGAAGCAAAAGUGUGUCACUGAAUUCCCUCAUGUGGAAAAAAUGGCACUCACUGACAUUCAUUGAUGCUUGCUGAAUGUUUAUAGAGACCAAACAAGUGUGAGCACAGUGAGGCACUGAUGACAGCAACGUGAAAGACAAGCCACAUUCUAGACAUCCAUGCAGAUUUCACAAGUUGGCAUGCAGUCUCUUGUUCAUUGCUGGCAAAAAUUCAUUGAUAUUGGUAGUGGCUAAGUUGAAGAAUAGAGCUUUGUAGCUGAGAAUUUGCUCUAUCAAAUACUUCUAUUGUGCUCCUUGUAUCUGUUGUAGUUUCCAUGGAAAUAAAUGGGAGGCAUUACUUUCAGAGUCAUCUACAUAUAUUGAGAAGGUGAUUUUCUAUUCUCACAGAAGGCAUACUUGACCUCUGGCCACGUCCAUCCAAUCUGACAGACUGGUCUUCGGAGAAUGGUGACCAAGAAUAAGCUCCAUGUCCCACAUGCCACCUGUUCAUCUGCACCGCUCCCUCUCCAGCAGCUCAUGGGCCAUGCCCAGCCUAUGUGUGACACCUCUCUGGCUGCUCAGAUGGAAAGUAAGAGCUUGGAGAGUGAGGACAGCAUGGAGUUAUGGAAGACAUGGCUACAAGAGCAUUCUUUCUCCAUCUCCAUGUGCUUCUGAAGGACCAGUCUGAUUCUGGCUCCUGCCAAGUUAGGAUAUGCUAUGAUUCUGUGAACACUUUUUGCAGCAAGUCAGCCAUAAGAAACAACAUACUCUCAGACAAUCAAGCCUCCAAAUUAAGGUGGGGAGACUUGUUGUGAAGGAGAUGGUUUUUUUUUUCCUACUGUAGAAGGGAUGUUCAAUGCUAUAGUGACAAGGAACAAUUCUUCAGCCUUAGACAGCAGAAAGAAGAAACAUAAAGAGACUGUACAGUUCUUGGGACACCGAGACAACUAUCUACGUGCUUUGUGGAAGCAGAGACAAGUAUGAGAUUUGGCUUUCUGGGCUAUGAGGGCACACAGCUGGCUCACAUCCAGCUCCCAUCCACCAUUUAGAUAAGAUACUAUUGCUUUUAAUAAAGACAAGUCAAAGAUCUUCUCCUAAGUGCUCUUAAAGAACUCCAGCAUUGUGUCUACAAUAAUCCAUCCGCCUUAAAGGAUCCAGCAGUACAUCACCACCAGUGGAUAUAAGAAGUAAUUAGUCAUCAUUUAGGGAAGUAAGAUUUAACAGUUAUUUUGUUGGCAGAAGUGCCGUGAUAAAAAUGGUACUCUGAAAGUUAUUUGGUAUUUCUCAUUGUUGCCAGAGUUCUGAACAUUUUGAUAGGAUGAACAUAGACUUCGGUAGGAAAGUUGUGGAUUUUUUCCCCUCCAUUUAGUAGAAAUAUAAAUGUUACAAAAUAAAUAAUGAUAGAAUAUAUGUGUAUAUAUUUUCAAUGCAUAUUUUAAAAUGCAUAUGAAAUGCAUUUUUUAAAAUAUUUUGUUCAAAUAUUUUUACUAAUGUUGUAUACCUUGCAUCUGUGAAGAGGGUUAUCCCUUAAACAUCCUUUCUUCAGACAGUACUGGGAUUCAUCCUCAGGCCCCGUUAUCUUGCUCUACGUUUCCUAGAGUCCAUCUAUAUAAUAAAUCAGAAUACUGCAUGGUUACACAUCGUAAUUAUUUUUUAAAAUUAUUUUUUAUUUUUUUGCUGAUUGGGGAAAUGGUGAAAACUGGUUUUUGCAUAUUUCAACAAUGUUACUCAGCCAAGUAAAAGAACAAGGGAGCAGAAUGGAAGAGAAAUGAAGAAAUGGAAGGAAGGAAGGAAGGAAGGAAGGAAGGAAGGAAGGAGGGAAGGAAGGAAGGAAGGAAGGAAGGAAGGAAGGAAGGAAGGAAGGAA